rnacentral:rRNA from 1 species
AGUGAACGCUGGCGGUAGGCCUAACACAUGCAAGUCGAACGGCAGCACAGGAGAGCUUGCUCUCUGGGUGGCGAGUGGCGGACGGGUGAGGAAUACAUCGGAAUCUGCCCAGUCGUGGGGGAUAACGUAGGGAAACUUACGCUAAUACCGCAUACGACCUUCGGGUGAAAGAGGGGGAUCGCAAGACCUCUCGCGAUUGGAUGAGCCGAUGUCGGAUUAGCUAGUUGGCGGGGUAAUGGCCCACCAAGGCGACGAUCCGUAGCUGGUCUGAGAGGAUGAUCAGCCACACUGGAACUGAGACACGGUCCAGACUCCUACGGGAGGCAGCAGUGGGGAAUAUUGGACAAUGGGCGCAAGCCUGAUCCAGCCAUACCGCGUGGGUGAAGAAGGCCUUCGGGUUGUAAAGCCCUUUUGUUGGGAAAGAAAUCUUUCAGGCUAAUACCCUGGGAGGAUGACGGUACCCAAAGAAUAAGCACCGGCUAACAUCGUG